GAGGAUGAGGUGCCAGGAUGGGAUGGGAUGCAGAAAUGAGGCAGGGGAUGGGGAUAAGGCUGGGGAUGGGGUCUGGGGGCCUUUGGGUGGAAGCACUUGUCCAGCUGAGCAGUGGGAGCUGUGCUGGAACACCAGCAGGAGCCUUGGAAAAAGGAGUUUUUCCAGUGAUACAGCUCAGACACCACAGCUGGCUCAUCCAGGCUCUCCUGGCAUCUGUGGCUGAAAUCAAACCGAGCUCUGCAGCUCAGUUCUUGUCCUGGUGCUUCAAGACAAAUUCGGUGUUGUGACAGGAACACAACACAAACGGCUCUCACAGGACAUUCAUCAGAAAAACAGCAGAACUAAAGGAGUAAACAAUAAAUCAUUCCUGAACAAGGGAGCUCUGAACUCAAAAAUCUCGACGUGGAGACGUUAUCUGAGUUGCUGCUGUCUCUAAGCAAUAGCAGCCCUGCUCAGCACCACGUGCAGUGAAUAACCACUGAUGUUCUGCUGUUCCUCUGACAGCUUCCACUCCCCAUGAAGACAUCCCAAGGCAGGCUGCCUUGCUUCAUAAUCUGACCAUCCCUGCUAAGGGUUGCUGCUUUGCACACACUCCACAAACCCAGAUUGCUCCAAGCCCUGUCCAACGUGACUUUGAACACUUCCAGUUUGAUUGCUGAGUCCAAACAUUUAUAAGGAAAAAAAUAUUUCCAUCUACACAUCAGUAAUGAUCUACCCAGUGGUACAGGAGAGAAACAAAAAGCUGAUUUUUCCCUUGCCACAGCCCCCAGCUGUAAGCAAUGUGAACAAUGAGGCACAGAGCACCACUGAACUUCCAAAGAAAACAAGUUUACAUCCAGACAGGCUUGAGCCAGAUAAGCUGAGACAAUCUGUAUCCUAUAUGAGAAGCUUUGCCAGGGAAUUUGAAGCCAAUCUUUGCUUCCAUUUUUAAGCAGAAAAUCCUUAUGUUAAGGAAAAAAACUGUAGAGAAAAGCAUGGACUGAGUAUUUGGGGCAAAAGGCAUAAAAAUAAACCUGCACCACUGAA